UUGCAAGUUUGCCACUCACCAAAGAAAUGAAGUAUAAAUUCAACUUUAUAGCUUUAGGGUUUGGUAUGUUGAAAUUUGAUGAGACAUUUUUCUCUCUAUUUUCUUCUAAGAGGCCGGCCAUUAAAGGAAGAAAACAUCUAGCAAUUUCUUCUUCUUUUAAUCAUCCAUAUAUCAUCUUCACAAGAUACAACCUUGGUGAAGAGACUUAGAGACAUCAAGCUUUUGGUGUUUUGGAGAACAAAUCCUUUUUCCUCAAAUCAUCAAAGGAGCACAAAAGGGAAGAAAACACAAGAAGGAUUCAAGGAGCUUGGAGGUGACUUGAAGGCCCUCCACUUGGGUGAAUCCCUUGUGUAAACAAGGAUGAGCUUCAAGGGUAAAGAAUCACUAAAUUCUUCUUUCUCUUUAAUGUUGUUAAAGAGUUCAUUUUGGUUCACCAUAUACUAGGCUUUGAAAGUCAUGGGUUUUAUUGAAUUGUUUUUGGAUGCAUGCCUAUAUUAAUGAGUUAAUAGUAUGCAUAUGUAUUCAAAUGUUCAUACUUGUUCUUAGCUAGGACAAAAUUUUUCCUUCACGCAGCAGCUCAACCUAAUGGCGUGCUGGGGGCAGAUGAGUACCAGAAUGACACACCAGUCUAACUACCAAGAACCGGGGGCAUGCCUUGUUCUUAACACUCCAGACGAUUCAAUACUGAAGCAACACAUCAUUAAUAGUUGAGCAUCACAAACCUAGUGGUCCAAUUCCUCCUGUUGCGCACAACCUGGUCUAAGCCCUGCUUUCACAGCCGUGCCUACCUACUCCACGGCUCCCAGCAGCCAUUGACCUAUCAUCAUGGCUUAUAAUUGUGCCAAUCUUACACCACGACUCCUAGCCAUGCCGAUUUUGCCAUGUUGCUCGUGUCAACCAAGCCUCAAAAUGGCACACGACGAAACACCUAAUGAUGGCGCAAUAAUUCUAGGAGCAACUCAUUGCAGUUACACCCUUACGUGGGUUCCACAAGCUGUUCGAAGUCUCAAGCAGUUCGCCAAACAAGACCUCGCAAGCUGAGGAUUAUUUUAGUUGUCCAGAUUUCCUCAACUACUGUCCACAACAACUGCUCAAAACCCUUUUCUGGGUCCGUUCUCCAGUGCGAGAGGAUAAACUAAUUGCUCUCCAGUACGAGAGGGUAAACUAAUUCCUCGACACCCAUAUGGGUAUGCUCUCCAGUAUGAGAGGAUAAACUAAUUACUCUCUAGUGCAAGAGGGUAAACCAAUUUCCCAACACCCAUAUGGGUUUGCUUUCCAGUGCAAGAUGAUAAACUAAUUGCUCUCCAAUGCGAAAAGGUAAACUAAUUGCUCUCCAGUGCGAUAGGGUAAACUAAUUCCCCGACACUCAUCUGGGUAAGCUCUCCAGUGUGAGAAGGCCACAUAGCUCAAAAGAUCGACUAAGCAGCAAAUGGCUAGGGGACAACAACCACUUUUGCACUUAAUAGUUCAUUCAUCUGACACUUCAUCUUCAGCAGCUCCAUUCUUGAAU
rnacentral:lncRNA from 1 species